UGAACGCCUAACAAAUUGAUAAUCUCUACUUUCACAUUUGAAUUUACAUUAGCCUCGAAAUAGAUAAGGGACUUGUCGAAAUUCACUCGCUGUCCUGAGACCAUCUCAUAUUCUCGAAUGAUAUCUUGAACCACUCUAGCCCCUCUGAAUGAUAUCCUGGACCACUCUAGCCCCUUCACACGAAGCAUUGCCUUAAAGGAUGCAAUCAUAUGCAAAAAAUAGAUGAUUAAUAGCAAAUCUCCCCUUACCAAUAGUUGCGCCCAUCAUCUUGAAUCUAUCAGCAAAAUUGGCAAAAGCCCAUGUUUUCUUUCUACCCACCAUCAUAGGCAGUCCAAGGUACUUCUCAAGAUUGGUAGCCACUCGUGAACUCUUAACAAAUUGAUAAUCUCUGCUUUCACAUUUGAAUUACAUUAGCCUUGAAAUAGAUAAGGGACUUGUCGAAAUUCACUCGCUGUCUUGAGACCAUAUCAUAUUCUCGAAUGAUAUCUUGUACACUCUAGCCCCCUCACACGAAGCAUCGCCUUAAAGGAUGCAAUCAUAUGCAAAAAAUAGAUGAUUAAUAGCAAAUCUCUCUCUACCAAUAGUUGUGCCCAUCAUCUUGAACCUAUUAGCAAAAUUGGCAAAAGCCCAUGUUUUCCUUCUACCCAUCAUCUUAGGCAGUACAAGGUACUUCUCAAGAUUGGUAGCCCUUCGUGAACUCUUAACAAAUUGAUAAUCUCUGCUUUCACAUUUGAAUUUACAUUAACCUCGAAAUAGAUAAGGGACUUGUUGAAAUUCACUCGCUGUCUUGAGACCAUCUCAUAUUCCUGAAUGAUAUCUUGGACCACUCUAGCCCCUUUGAAUGAUAUCUUGGACCACUCUAGCCCCCUCACACGAAGCAUCGGCUUAAAGGAUGCAAUCAUAUGCAAAAAAAAUAGAUGAUUAAUAGCAAAUCUCUCCUUACCAAUAGUUGUGCCCAUCAUCCAACCUUUAUUUUUGGCAUCUUGAAUCAGAGUAGAGAAACCUUCAGUGUAGAUUAGAAAUAGAUAGGGGCUAAGAGGAUCUUUUUGCUUUAAGCCUCUUGAGGGGCAAAAUUAUUUGCCAUUGACUCCAUUAAGAGUAAUCGAGUAGGAAACAGAACAUACACACCUCAUGAUGAGUACAAUCCAGUCCUCAUGGAAACCCAAGUGCUUUAUCAUACCAGCCAGAAAAUCCCAUUCAACUCGAUCAUAGGCUUUACUCAUAUCAAGUUUAAGUGCAAAAUUUCUUUCUUACCAUUCUUUUUCAUUUUGAGAGAGUGAAGGACCUCAUAAGCAAUCAACAUAUU
rnacentral:lncRNA from 1 species